UGGGUAAAAUCGCCUAAUUCAAUCUAGCCAAGCUAGAUUAGAAGCGGAGGAACCAGUAAUUGGGGCGAAUCUCUUUUUAGAGAAAGACACCUUCCAGUCUUAGCCCGUCAGCUAACUCCGUCGGCAUUGGGAGGAGUACCU
rnacentral:sRNA from 2 species